rnacentral:rRNA from 1 species
UUGGUUAAGUUAGAAAGGGCGCACGGUGGAUGCCUUGGCACUAGGAGCCGAAGAAGGACGGGACUAACACCGAUAUGCUUUGGGGAGCUGUACGUAAGCGUUGAUCCAGAGAUUUCCGAAUGGGGGAACCCACUAUCUUUAGUCGGAUAGUAUCCUUACGUGAAUACAUAGCGUGAGGAAGGCAGACCCAGGGAACUGAAACAUCUAAGUACCUGGAGGAAGAGAAAGAAAAAUCGAUUUCCUGAGUAGCGGCGAGCGAAACGGAAAGAGCCCAAACCAAGAAGCUUGCUUCUUGGGGUUGUAGGACACUCUAUACGGAGUUACAAAAGAAAGUUAUAAAUGAAGCGGUCUGGAAAGGCCCGCCAAAGACGGUAACAGCCCGGUAGUUGAAAUGGCUUUCCCUCCAGAGUGGAUCCUGAGUACGGCGGAACACGUGAAAUUCCGUCGGAAUCCGGGAGGACCAUCUCCCAAGGCUAAAUACUCCCUAGUGACCGAUAGUGAACCAGUACCGUGAGGGAAAGGUGAAAAGCACCCCGGAAGGGGAGUGAAACAGUUCCUGAAACCGUGUGCCUACAAGUAGUUAGAGCCCGUUAAUGGGUGAUAGCGUGCCUUUUGUAGAAUGAACCGGCGAGUUACGAUUUGUUGCAAGGUUAAGCGGAAAAAGCGGAGCCGUAGCGAAAGCGAGUCUGAAUAGGGCGCAUAAGUAACAGGUCGUAGACCCGAAACCAGGUGAUCUACCCAUGUCCAGGAUGAAGGUAAGGUAAUACUUACUGGAGGUCCGAACCCACGCACGUUGAAAAGUGCGGGGAUGAGGUGUGGGUAGCGGAGAAAUUCCAAUCGAACUUGGAGAUAGCUGGUUCUCUCCGAAAUAGCUUUAGGGCUAGCCUCGAGGUAAAGAGUCAUGGAGGUAGAGCACUGUUUGGACUAGGGGCCCUUCUCGGGUUACCGAAUUCAGAUAAACUCCGAAUGCCAUGUACUUAUACUCGGGAGUCAGACUGCGAGUGAUAAGAUCCGUAGUCGAAAGGGAAACAGCCCAGACCACCAGUUAAGGUCCCCAAAUAUAUGUUAAGUGGAAAAGGAUGUGGGGUUGCUUAGACAACCAGGAUGUUGGCUUAGAAGCAGCCACCAUUGAAAGAGUGCGUAAUAGCUCACUGGUCGAGUGACCCCGCGCCGAAAAUGUACCGGGGCUAAACAUAUUACCGAAACUGUGGAUGAACCUCUUUAGAGGUUCGUGGUAGGAGAGCGUUCUAAGGGCGGUGAAGUCAGACCGGAAGGACUGGUGGAGCGCUUAGAAGUGAGAAUGCCGGUAUGAGUAGCGAAAGAAGGGUGAGAAUC